rnacentral:rRNA from 1 species
GACGAACGCUGGCGGCGUGCUUAACACAUGCAAGUCGAACGGAGAGGCCCUGCUUUUUUGGUGUGCUCGAGUGGCGAACUGGUUAGUAACCCGUGAGUAACGUACCCUUUACGUUAGGAUAACUUCAGGAGACUAUGGCUAAUACCGGAUGGGAUCUCCUGCUUCUUAGUGGUGGUUGUAAAGUUGCGGAGGUUGGGGAUCGACGCGCGGCUUAUCAGGUUGUUGGUGGGGUAGUGGAUUACCCGGGCUUUGGCGGGUAGCCGGCCUGACUGGGUAACCGGCCAGAUUGGGACUGAGCUACGGCCCAGACUACUACGGGAGGCAGCAGUGGGGUAUAGUGCACAAUGGGCGGAAGCCUGAUGCAGCAACGCCGCGUGCGGGAUGACGGCCUUCGGGUUGUAACCCAAUUUCGCCUGUGACGAAGCGUGAGUGACGGUAAUGGGUAAAGAAGCCCCGGCUAACUACGUG